ACAGACUGGCAGGCCGGCCAGACAGACGGACAGGCUGACCCCGGCCCGGGGGAGCAGGCGCAGCGGCUGCGCAGGUCCCGCCACCGCCUUCUGGCCCCAGGCGGCCCCUCAGGGCACGAGCUCUUAGGCGGGCGGAGGCGGCCGCGAGGCGCUUACCUGAGGGCGCGGCGGGGGCGCGGGGCGGCUCACUCUCUUCCCGCCGCCAUGUUUCCGCUGCGCAGGGAGGGAGCGGAGACGCGGGAAGGGGGCGGGCGGGCGGCUCGGGAGAGCGGCGGGCGGGCGGCGGGGGGCUCCACCGAGCUGGCGGUGGCGGCUGAGGCGGGGGGCGGGGCGGGGGCUCCCCCGGCCCCUCCCCCGCGCCUCCCGCUGCGAGGUGGCGCGCGCCUCGGCCGUUGGGCUCGCGCGGGGGGCGGGGCGGCGCGCUGGAGGAGGGAGGGCGCGCGGGAACCCGGCCCGGCCGUACCCCGCCGGCCUGCCGACCCGGGUCCGGGGGCCCAGUUGGCGCCCGGACCAGCUCUCCGGUCUGCGUCCUGUAGAUGGGAAAACUGAGGCCUGAGAGGGCGCGAGGGCGGGGACGAGGCCGAGGACUCGGGUUCGAAUCUCGAGGACGCCAGUAGCCCGCUCUGAGGCCGCGUGGGGCUGGUGGAGGAGCCACCGGUCGGGCCCCCAAGACCGGCUGACGUGGGCCUCGCCUCGGGCGACUCCCGCCGGGCUAGUGGCUGGCCGUGUGGUGACCUUGGGCGAGUUACUUCGCACAGCCACCCAGGGGCCUCUUCUCCAACACGAUAGCACUGCACCCGGAGGGCCUUCAGACCUGAGCUGAAAUCUACACCACCGGCUCUCUGACUAUCAGGCUUUGGACUAUACUUUGGGCUUUCCUGGGUCUCUUACCUGGCAGACAGCAGAUUUUGGAACUUUUCAGCCUCCAUAAUCAUUUCCCAGAAGAACCACAAAGCAUAAAUUUCCCCAAAAGGGGAAUUUUGUUGAUGGCUUUAGUCUAUUCCCUCCUAAAAGACCAGCUACAACCAAAUGAAGUGAACAUAACCUCAAGGGUGUAUUGUCUUCAUAAUAAAAGAUGAAGCUUAGAACUGGAUCACUUGGCCCUUUCUCUUCUGACAUCCUCCCAGUUGAAAAGGCCUGCAUCUCCUAAUAGCCUGCCAGCAUUCUCUUAGAUCUGCAGUUGGGCUCAAAACACCCAAGCCUCUGCACAAUGUUCUUUGUAAUUUCAGUCUUUUCCCUGAAAAGUUGGCCUAGUAGCCAUACUGCUUCCUGUCAUAAUGCUGCCUUCCCCGGGCAUACAGAAGACCCUUGCCCUUCUUAUAUUGUGUCACUUUGUGGGGUUGGUGCUUGCUACAAUUCUUAUAGAAAGUCUGGUGAGUUUUAGGAACGUUCACCAUGUUUGUGGGAGUGCUAUAACUACCUUUGUUGUGUUUUUCUGUCUUUUUCUUCUUUCUGAUGUGCUGGUUCCUUGCUUUUCCCUUCCUCCCUUGGUUCCUAUCUGAGCUGCUUUUUUUUUUUUUUUUUUGAGACGGAGUCUCGCUCUGUUGCCCAGGCUGGAGUGCAGUGGUGCAAUCUCGGCUCAC
rnacentral:lncRNA from 1 species